CCUACGGGCGGCAGCAGUGAGGAAUAUUGGUCAAUGGACGCAAGUCUGAACCAGCCAUGCCGCGUGCAGGAAGACGGCUCUAUGAGUUGUAAACUGCUUUUGUACGAGGGUAAACGCAGAUACGCGUAUCUGUCUGAAAGUAUCCCCCGAAUAAUGAUCGGCUAACUCCGUGCCAGCAGCCGCGGUAAUACGGAGGAUUCAAGCGUUAUCCGGAUUUAUUGGGUUUAAAGGGUGCGUAGGCGGUCGGAUAAGUUAGAGGUGAAAUCCCGAGGCUCAACUUCGGAAUUGCCUCUGAUACUGUUCGGCGAGAGAGUAGUUGCGGUAGGCGGAAUGUAUGGUGUAGCGGUGAAAUGCUUAGAGAUCAUACAGAACACCGAUUGCGAAGGCAGCUUACCAAGCUACUUCUGACGUUGAGGCACGAAAGCGUGGGGAGCAAACAGGAUUAGAUACCCGAGUAGUC
rnacentral:rRNA from 1 species